GACGAACGCUGGCGGCGUGCUUAACACAUGCAAGUCGAACGGAAAGGCCCUGCUUUUGUGGUGUGCUCGAGUGGCGAACGGGUGAGUAACACGUGAGUAACCUGCCCUUGACUUUGGGAUAACUUCAGGAGACUGGGGCUAAUACCGGAUAGGAGCUCCUGCUGCAUGGUGGGGGUUGGAAAGUUUCGGCGGUUGGGGAUGGACUCGCGGCUUAUCAGCUUGGUGGUGGGGUUGUGGCUUCCGAAGGCUUUGACGGGUAGCCGGCCUGAGAGCUGGACCGGGCACAUGAGGACUGAGAUACGCACCAGUAGGCAAUCGGAGGCAACGGUCGAGAAUAUGACGCAAUGGGGGGGAGCGAGAGACAGAAACGCCGCGUGCGGGAUAACGGCCUUCGGGGUGUAAACCGCUGUCGCCGGUGACGAAGCGAGAGUGACGGUAACGAGUAAAAAAGCACCGGCUAACUACGUG
rnacentral:rRNA from 1 species